AUUAAAAAAAUGAAGGAUAAAAAAACCAUAUGAUCAUCUCAAUAGAUUCAGAGAAAGCUUUCGACAAAAUUCAACACCCAUUUAUGAUAAAAAAAAAAAACCCUGCAGAAAGUAGGCAAAGAGGGAAC